CCGCCUCUAGUACGAGCCUUUUCGACCAACCAUGGAGGGCAUCUACUCUUCAUAGCCUUGAUUGUCGACUUCCUCAUAAUCAUACUCCACUUCUGUAUAACCGAAGUCGUUAAAAUGACCAGACUCAUCAUAAGUACCAUUCUCUAUCGCCUCGGAGUUCUCAUAACUCUCUUGCUCUGAAAAACAACAUAAGUGCAGCUGAGUACGUAUAAAAUACGUACUUCACAAGUCGCCGGGAAAAGUGGAUGUAUGAGUUUUUAAAGAGGAAAAACUUCAUCGGCCACGGCUACCACCACCGAGCCAUUAUCUCAAAAUACUAUGUAGGUAAAAAUAUUUUCCCUUAACCCAUUUUGUUGAAAACCAAAUUUUAUUCAUAAAAUCUACUAGCGACAGAGCGACGUGGGAUCUUAUAUCCUGUGUUAGAGGAAAACCUACACGACGCACUUCCAAUCCUGGAAGCUGGGAGUGAUAUUACAUUUACUCUGAUCAGAGGUGUACUGCUUUGCCCAUAGCAUCACUUGGUACAAGUCGUCCAUGCGCUACCCGUGCGCACGACUAGACCAAGGAACCAGAACCUUUAACCAACCCGUACACUACCUCUGCUUUUCCACCUUGCCUUACUAAAGGCCCGCGGGUCGAGACCCCUGACCGGCGGUCCCGCCCUAGGGUGACUGUACCUACCCGGCUACAGCCACCUUCUCACCCAUGCAGACGCAGCUACUUGGCAUGGGUAGUCGGUUCAGCCCGUCCCAUUCCAGGUCUAUGGUCAGUACGAUUUGCACCACUUUUGAAGUAAGUGCCAGUUGGUUGUGUCCUAAUGUGAUACCCUAUGUAGAGGAGCCCGCCAUCCAAGCCAACCCUACCCGGGUUGCCUUCACCAACAUAAGCUCCCCUACCCACCAAAUAUUUAUUUAUAAUGUAGCCCUGCCCAGGUCACAACUACUUAAUGCAGAUACUUCACCUGAUCUGGUCCAAUUGCCAAAUUAGUGGAUCCACCUGAUCCAAAUCUCAUUUCAUUUAUGAAAAAUAUUUAUUUUUAAUUCUUAUGCAAAAUUUUAGAAAUGACCCAUAGCCCGGAAAACAUUUAUCAAGACAUGGUCAAGGAGAUGACGACUUGCCGGAUAGUGCUUCGAUCAACUCGGAACCACUAGACGUGGCUCCUACGGGUCCGAGAUCGACUCCUGAUAAUUAUUUCAGGAACAUGUUUAUAUUAUUAUUUAUUUUCCUAAUUAAAAAUCUAACAUCCAGCAACACGGCCAUGUUGAGCAAGCCACAUGUAAUUAACUAAGUGGUGAUACGUCCUAGUGUUCCAUUGAGAGAUAAAAUGCAUUAAGCCAUCCAAAACAGAGUAGCAUGCACGUAUGUCAUCCAGUCCAGAGAGUGGUAAAAGAAAUGAUAAGUAAAAAGAACAGUAGCCCAGUACUGUACUACUAGUACUUCGCUGGUUAAGGCCCGUGUCUAUCCAGAGAGACUACUUAACUUCUCGUUGUCCCACGAACAGAACCAGCCCACUCACCUCUCUCUCUCUCCCCCAAGAACAGAGCACGGCCGCCGUCGCCUCGAUCUGCCCCGUCCGGGCAUCUCCGGCGACACGACAGAUACCUACAGAUUCUCCUUGUCUCCCUCUACCAUAUCCCCCUAUUUAUUUGAUCCGCCGCCGCCAAAAACGUCGCCACCACUCAAUCCUAGCACCGCCUGAUCCAGGUCCGGUGGGCUUGCCACCGGCUGCAGCGGCAACGACGUCUCCAUGCCUACAUCUUCCUCCAGCAGAGCUGCACGCAUGAGGCGUGCAACUACGGCCGUCAGGUGCGAGCGGCUUCACCGGCGCGGCUCCGGCAACAUGGCCGCUACCAGCGCCCGGCUCGCCUUUGUCUACUGCUACUAGUGUAAGUGCCAGUCCAAAUUCCUCUCUGUGCAUCGUUCUUGCUUCUACUACAAGUGUUUGUGCCGUGACUCCCCUUACUGCCAUGCUUCUUGUUAAUCUCAAGACCAAGGAAUUAAUCAAGCUUUACUCUUGUGGUGUGGACGUGGUCUGCAGAUUUGCUCCAUAUUGUUUAUCAUUAUUUUUGGCUGUACUAUGCUAUCCCUGCACUACUAUGAUUCUUUUUAUUAAGCUCAAAACUAGGAAUUAACCAGUGAAUCCCCACUGUUAAAGGCUUACUACAAAUCUAUGGGUGGCAAGUUAAUUGCUUGUGAUGGUUAGGUGCUGCCACAAAUUAAAUCUAAGUAUUCCUACUGUGUGUGCGCGCACACUCCUCUCUGAACCCCACAAACAACCAAGUGAACAGCAACAUUGAUAGACUCAAAUUAUACUAAGGGAAACCGGAAAAAAAAUGAGUGAGAUAUUCUAGCAAGAUUUCAUUUGUGCAAAAGUUAAAUGGGUUAUUUUCCGGUACAGGGUAUGUGCAAGUGAGACAUACCAUCUUGAGAUUUAUUUCUUAACAGAACAUUAACCAACCAAUGUUUACUGAAAAUGAUAGUGGUCAAGUAGCAUACACAGAUUGUCUGGCCCCAAAGCUACACAUGCAAUCUUAAUAAUGGGUUAAUUUCUAAGAUUUAAUUCUUAGCAUGUCAGAUCUAAUACAAGGUAGAGAUGAACACAAACAUAGAUUUUCUUUUACAGCUACACAUGAAUCACAAAACUGCAAUGUCUUUGUUUUCCUCCAUCUACUUUAUGUUUUUUUUCACUAACUAUUGUUUCUCUUUUUACAGAAGGUAACUAGAGUCCAGAAGAUUAGGUGUUCAUGUUCUAAGCAAAGGUAAAGAUGGAUCAAGGUGCCAAGCAUCAAGCAAACAGAGCUGCAAAAGCAAGGUACUUGAAUAGUACCUGAUCGCAACUCGGCAUUCGACCAAAAGAGUGGAUGGGGAUGGUGGGAAGAGCUUGGUUCUCUCUCUUGUGCGUGUUGUGUGCAGUAGAGGAAGUGAAAGGUGAAAGGUGCAUGCUGCUAUUUAUAGUAGUGGAGGAUGCUAUGUCGGUUUGGUAAAAUGGAGCAGGUAGCUGGCAUGCAUGGUUGCAUGCGCAUGCAAGGCUCCACUUGUAAUCAUAUGAGCUGUAGAAUGGACAAGUGUGUAGUGCUUGGUUGGACAUUAGUUGGCAUUUUCUUCAUGCCUAAGUAUAUGGCCUAUUAGUUGUUUGUAAAAUUUUAAUUUUACAUUGGGCUCAAGAAACAUUGUAAAAAGCACAUCAAAGAUUGGUUGUGAUCUAAAUUAAGAUCAAUAUCCUGGAUGUUGUUUGUGGCGAUUCUAAUAUGUAUUUAGCAAUAUGGAUGUAUCCUACUAUCGUCAAAAAGACCGUUAUAUUUGUUUGAGGGUUUUUACAUUGCUUCUUCUGUGUGUAAAAUGAGACAAAGUUCAACUCUAAAUUUGCAAACUAUAAGAAGGUUUGGGGAAGAAACAUUGUAGAAGGCUACAUACUAAAUUUUCGGCUGCAUAUUUUUUUAAUAAUGGUGUUGUCGUUAGUUGUAAUCAUUCAACUGAUUAUGCCUUGU
rnacentral:lncRNA from 1 species